CCCAGCGACACAGUGGAGUGGCAGAGUCAGCGUUCUGGCGCCAUCUGUGCAGACUGGAGCCACGCUCUCCUCCCUGCUCCAGGCCGGGGAUGUGCUACGGGGACGGGGAUGGCCCAGCGCCCAGGACAGCCCAAUUGCUAGGCAAAAUGUGGCCCCGGGGCCAGGAACGUGGGCAUCGCCUGGGACCUGAAUCAGGGUCUGCAUUUAUCAAUGCAGGACACGUGACACCAUGCCCACCCUGGGUUAGGUCUCAAUAAUCUCACUUGAGACACCAUGUCAUUGGAGGGGGUGGGGCUCAGUAUUCAAAAGAAGUGUUGGAAAAACAUGGUUCACUCCGAUCAUCUGUUUUUACAGGUGAGGAAAUCGAUGCUUGGAGAAGGGCAGGGACCUGCCCAACACCACGGAGAAUCGACAGCCAGAAUCCAGGAAUGUCAGGUGGAUGGGUUGUGGCCCGAAGCUGACAUUUUACAUCCAGGCAACCUACGGGAGAGAGUUUGUCAGUGGCCGGGAGAUGCCACCUCAUCUGCUCCCCGCUCCCCGACUCCUGCUCGGGCCUUGGAACGUGGAAGUUCAUUGCCUGGGGCCGGGAGUAUUUUCUUCACCAAGAUGACAGAGAAUAAAUUGUUUUCUAUUUGUUUA